rnacentral:tRNA from 2 species
CGUUGGUUAGCUCAGCAGGCAGAGCAUCAGGCUGUGAACCUGAGAGUCGCGGGUUCGAAUCCCGCACCAACUU